rnacentral:tRNA from 1 species
GAGGUUGUGGCUCAGUGGUAGAGCAUUUGCCUGGCAUGUGUGAAGCCCUGGGUUCAAGUCUCAGCAUCA